GUAUCAUGGCUCAGGAUGAACGCUAGCUACAGGCUUAACACAUGCAAGUCGAGGGGCAGCAUGGUCUUAGCUUGCUAAGGCCGAUGGCGACCGGCGCACGGGUGAGUAACACGUAUCCAACCUGCCGUCUACUCUUGGACAGCCUUCUGAAAAGGAAGAUUAAUACAAGAUGGCAUCAUGGGUCCGUCAUGUUUCACAUGAUUAAAGGUAUUCCGGUAGACGAUGGGG
rnacentral:rRNA from 1 species